rnacentral:rRNA from 1 species
ACUUACCAGGUCAAGACAUGGGCGUGAUUGACAGGCUAAUGACUUUUCUCGAUUCCAUGGAUGGUGGUGCAUGGUCGCACUUAGUUGGUGCAGUGAUUUGUCAGGUUUAUUCCGGUAACGAACGAGACCUCGGCCUUGUAAAUAGCUAUGCUGCUUACAGGGACAUUGGCGGCUACGCCAAGGAAGCUCGAGGCAAUUGCAGAUCUGGAAUGCCCUUAGAUGUCCUGGGUCGCACGCGUGCUACAAUGACGCCACGAACGAGCUUGCGUGAUGAAAGUUACGCAUAAUCAGCAGUCGGCGUCUUAAGGGAUAGUCUCUUGUAACUGUGGGACUCCAACUAGGAAUGUCUCGUAAGCACAAGUCAACAUCUUGUGUUGAUUACGUCCCUGCUCUUUGUACACACCGCCCGUCGCUCCUACCGAUCGAGUGUUUAGGUGAAUUUGAUGGACGUAAGGAAGUCAAAUAAACCUGAGCACUAGAGGAAGGAGAAGUCGAGCUGA